CAGCCGCCACGGGAAUACGUAGGGUACAAGCGUUAAUCGGAAUUACUGGGCGUAAAGCGUGCGCAGGCGGUUUGUUAAGACAGAUGUGAAAUCCCCGGGCUCAACCUGGGAACUGCAUUUGUGACUGGCAAGCUAGAGUGUGGCAGAGGAUGGUGGAAUUCCCGGUGUAGCGGUGAAAUGCGUAGAGAUCGGGAGGAACAUCAGUGGCGAAGGCGGCCAUCUGGGACAACACUGACGCUGAGGCACGAAAGCGUGGGGAGCGAACAGGAUUAGAUACCCCAGUAGUCCCUGUCUCUUAUAC
rnacentral:rRNA from 1 species